rnacentral:lncRNA from 1 species
GGAGGCCGAGAGGCCGUUCUCAUGCGAUUCCGGCCAUUUACCAUGGAGGCGGCGAUGAGGGCUCAGGUUUAAGUUACCGAAAUGAGGGAGGGGAGGGGAUCCUUUUCUUUUUUUCUUAUUUUUUGCGGCUGAAUGAAGCUAGGUUAAAGGGGGGUUAAGACUUCAAAACGGCGCCGUUUAGCCCCAUGACCCGCGUGCGAUCCGACCCGCUCCAGGGGGAUCCGCGCGUUUGCAUGAAAUGGGCUAUUUGCGUCUUCGAUCCAUCCGCAUUUUUAUUUAUUUCGAUUUUGUCCUUUCGCUUAUUUAUUUACUUUAUAAAUUCGGCCCGUGAGUUUAGCUCCUGUUUCAAUUUGGUCC